rnacentral:lncRNA from 1 species
CCUUGCUAAAGUCCAAGAAAACAACACCCACCUCUAACUAGGAAUAGACUCUGUCAUAGAAUGAAAUCAGCUUGGUCAGACAUGCUCUACCUACUACAAAUAAUCCAUAUUGGACUCCCACAAAUAUUAUCCUUCAAAGCACAUGUUUCACCCCAGAGAGGAAACAAACAAACAAAAGGUCUUUUUCUGUCCAGACCCUCAUCAAAUGCCCUUUGGAAACGGCAGAGCCAUGUCGAUUGUGUUGUGUUAAUUAGCUAUUCCACCAGCGACUUGGAAAAAGUCAAACAGGUUUUAAGGCAAGAAAAGCUCUUUCACUAACCCCAGCCCCUUCCUGUGAGUGGUGGCCUUUAAAAAUCUCCUUCACAAAUCAGUCCAGAGCCAACUGGUCAAUUUUCUAAGUUAAUCUGAAAAGGUUUCAUGCUCCAAAUCCCUGUGCUUCCUGGCGAUAUUUUUCUCUGCAGUAGGGAAAUAAUUUCUAUACAAAGCGCUGACAAUAGCAGCCCUACCCUAACAAAUGUCUUGCUUCACCUCCUUUCGUAUCCUGGCACGCAGGCCAUCUGUUCCUCUUUCUUUAUCCCCUUUUACUCCAAUCCCUUAUCCUCUUUAUUGCACUCUUCUUAUUUAUCCUAAUGUCCCCUAACAAAUCCAUGUGAUCUCCCCCUAGUCAUAGUAUUGACUCAGGACCUGCACCUUAAUCUCCCUUAGUAGAGCUGAUGUAACCUACUGUAAUGGCUCCUGUGUGCCGUGGGGUCAGGCUGUUCUGGAUAGGACCAGGACAGAAACACCAAGUACUGUAACAACUGCCCUGACUGUUCAGAACAUCGGUCCAUUGGAUCUAAUACUUCUGCUUCUCAGGAGACAUCCGAGUCUUCAAAGGAAAUGAAAAAUCUCCAUGCUGUGCCUGGUCCAUGGAACCUGAGGUUCAGUUCGCUGUUGCCUGCAGAGAUGCAGAACUGUGUCAUCAAGCAGAGCGUGUUUACAGAGCGUCUUGGAAAGAGUGAGAAUUAAGCUACAAGGUGAAAUGCACUCCAAAAAAUGGGAGGGAAAGAGCUGAGGCUGAGAUUCCGGUUAGACCACCUCUGACAUGUUUUUAGUUUUACCGUGGCUAAUUGUUCUACCAAGUUUAAUUUUAUCAUGGUACUUCCAUUACAUGUAUUCUUGCACUAGGUCACGCUCCUCAUUAAUAUUAAUGGCCACUGGGUAUCGAAAAUUCCCCUUGAGCCACCUGAACAACUCAGCCCACUGGUACAAGCAAAGAAUGAUGC